UCCGGCUUAACGCCGGCAGUUUCCUUAGAGUGCCCAGCCUGACCUGCUGGCAACUAAGGAUGAGGGUUGCGCUCGUUGCGGGACUUAACCCAACAUCUCACGACACGAGCUGACGACAGCCAUGCAGCACCUGUCACCGGUCCAGCCAAGCUGAAGGAGAGCGUCUCUGCUCCCCGCGACCGGGAUGUCAAGGGCUGGUAAGGUUCUUCGCGUUGCCUCGAAUUAAACCACAUGCUCCACCGCUUGUGCGGGUCCCCGUCAAUUCCUUUGAGUUUUAAUCUUGCGACCGUACUCCCCAGGCGGAGUGCUUACCGCGUUAGCUGCGUCACUGAAACCUUAAGGUUCCAACAACUAGCACUCAUCGUUUACAGCGUGGACUAC
rnacentral:misc_RNA from 1 species